rnacentral:misc_RNA from 1 species
GAUGAAGAACGUAGCGAAAUGCGAUAAGUAAUGUGAAUUGCAGAAUUCCGUGAAUCAUCGAAUCUUUGAACGCACAUUGCGCCCCCUGGUAUUCCGGGGGGCAUGCCUGUCCGAGCGUCAUUGCAACCUUCAAGCGCGGCUUGUGUGUUGGGUCUCGUCCCCCGUGGACGGGCCCGAAAGGCAGUGGCGGCGUCCCGACAUGGUGCCCGAGCGUAUGGGAAUCCUCUUCCGCUCGAAUCGGCCCAUGCGGCGCUGGUCGUAACCAAAAUUUUUACCGGUUGACCUCGGAUCAGGUAGGGAUACCCGCUGAACUUAAGCAUAUCAAUAAGCGGAGGA